rnacentral:rRNA from 1 species
AAUGGGGGAAACCCUGACGCAGCCAUGCCGCGUGAGUGACGAAGGCCUUAGGGUUGUAAAGCUCUUUCGCUAGGGAAGAUAAUGACGGUACCUAGUAAAGAAGCCCCGGCUAACUCCGUGCCAGCAGCCGCGGUAAUACGGAGGGGGCUAGCGUUGUUCGGAAUCACUGGGCGUAAAGCGCGCGUAGGCGGACUGAUUAGUUGGGGGUGAAAGCCCGGAGCUCAACUCCGGAACUGCCUCCAAUACUGUCAGUCUUGAGGUCGAGAGAGGUAAGCGGAAUUCCGAGUGUAGAGGUGAAAUUCGUAGAUAUUCGGAAGAACACCAGUGGCGAAGGCGGCUUACUGGCUCGAUACUGACGCUGAGGUGCGAAAGCGUGGGGAGCAAACAGGAUU